rnacentral:misc_RNA from 1 species
UCUCCGUAGGUGAACCUGCGGAGGGAUCAUUACAGAGUUCAUGCCCUACCGGGUAGAUCUCCCACCCUAUGUUAUUAUUACUUUGUUGCUUUGGCGGGCCGUUAGGCUCCGGCCCGACUACCGGGCCCGGCUGGUAAGCGCCCGCCAGAGGACCCAAAACCCUGAAUAUUAGUGUCGUCUGAGUACUAUAUAAUAGUUAAAACUUUCAACAACGGAUCUCUUGGUUCUG